GUGCCAGCCGCCGCGGUAAUACAGAGGCCUCAAGCGUUGUUCGGAAUUACUGGGCGUAAAGGGAAUGUAGGCGGCGGCGUAAGUCAGAUGUGAAAGCCCUGGGCUUAACCCGGGAAGUGCAUUUGAUACUGCGUCGCUGGAGUGCAGAAGAGGAAAGCGGAAUUCCAGGUGUAGGGGUGAAAUCCGUAGAUAUCUGGAGGAAUACCGAUGGCGAAGGCAGCUUUCUGGUCUGUAACUGACGCUGAGAUUCGAAAGCGUGGGUAGCAAACAGGAUUAGAUACCCCGGUAGUCC
rnacentral:rRNA from 1 species